rnacentral:rRNA from 1 species
UACGUAGGUGGCAAGCGUUGUCCGGAUUUACUGGGCGUAAAGAGCGCGCAGGCGGUCGGCCAAGUCGAGUGUGAAAGCCCCCGGCUCAACUGGGGAGGGUCAUUCGAUACUGGUCGACUCGAAGGCAGGAGAGGGAAGCGGAAUUCCCGGUGUAGUGGUGAAAUGCGUAGAUAUCGGGAGGAACACCAGUCGGCGAAGGCGGACUUCCUGGCCUGUUCGUUGACGCUGAGGCG